rnacentral:tRNA from 1 species
GUGUCCUUGACCGAGCGGCAAAGGUGCCGGACUUCCGGGCACCGAUUGGCCGAAAGGCCAGAUUGGUCCGGCGAGGCGGGUUCGACUCCCGCAGGACACU